UAAGAUCUGAAUUUGUUAGAGAGAGAGAGAGAGAGAAGAGAGAGAUAGAGCGCCUCACUCAAUCAUGGAGGAGGAGAUCUACCGAGUCUUCGUUAACUCUUCGAUGGCAAAUCCAAAGCCCUAAAUUUCACAUCACAAUCAAUACCAGUCCUCUCCAUCAAGAACCACAUUCGUGAAAUCACCAGCAUUCCAGUCGACGAUCAGAGACUCGUAACUGGCACAAAACAAGUCGAAGAUUCAUCAUCUCUCCUCAAACCCUACUCCUCCAAUGGGACUCACUGUUACCCUACGCUUCACCUCCUCCUCUGCCUCCGAGGCGCCGCCACAAAUCCGGCCAGAAGAAGACAAACAACUUCGACGCGUGUCAUGAACGCCGAGAAGAAGCUGGAGGAGUGGCGGAGGAGGCUGGAGAAGGUUGCGGAGGAUCGGAUGCGAAGAGAGUAAAGAUAUGGAUGGGGAAGAGAGAAGUGGGUGACAAUGAUAACGACGAUGUGGAUGAGGAUGAUAGUGAUGGUGAUGAAGAGGAGGAAAAUGAUGAAUCUGUUAUUUUAGACAAUGGGAAUGGGUCGGACUCAAAUAAGGAAGCAAAGUGUAGUUUGGGUUCUGUUACCAGUUGGAAUCGUGAUGGAGAAUCUUCUGGUGGAGUUUCUGCUGAGAGUGGUUCUGAGGGAGAGGAGACUGCCAUAAGAGGGAGUUCAUUUGUGGUUGAAAGUUCUGAUGCAGGGAUGGUUGGCAGUGAAAGCAAUGAUGCUGGUGAACCAGCAUUAGGGACUCUUGGAGAAAAGGAUGGUCCGGAAUGGAGGUGUAUCUUUAUCAGAGGAGACGGUUGUUUCUAAAAUUGAAGCUUUUAAAGCUGAGAAGCAAGAAUCUAGUGGACCUAUGUUUGGUACUCUGCAGGGAACAAUUAAUCAACCUAAUAUCUCUAGCAUCGGAGAUGAUGGAGCUUUGGAAUGUGGAACGACUGAUGCAGAUGUUGGCCUUAAUUCGGAAUCCAAACUAGUUGUUCAUGAAGAAACUGUGGUGAUGAGCACAGAUGUCUCACAUGUGGUGAAGCCACUGAAUUUUGAUGAAUUUAAUUCAACAGCAGAAUUGGAGGAAUAAUUUGCAAUGCCACAGUUUUCGAAGUAUGAGCCAUAUGUGUGUGUGUCAAUGUGGGUACCAUUCAUUUUAUGUUACUGUCAUUAGAUUUGAAGAACUUCAGCAUUGUUUGAAAAAGAAGUAGCAUUUGUCUUAGAUGAGCUGCUGGUGAUGCUUACUGUAUCAUGCAAGUGGCACCCUUCAAUCUAUUGGACCAUUUCCAAGUUAAAGAUGUGGUGGUUGUUACUAGGGAUUCUUGCAGCGGUUACUACUAGCUCAUGCUGUGGAAUUAUAGUGUUCUAUAAAUUGGUCAAUGGAAAUAAUGGUGUAUUAGUACUUUAGGUUAUGUUUGAUUGUUGGACUAUGUUGACUGGCAUUAUGAGUACAGUGGGAUUGAAUCAUGGGACUGCUAUGAUGGUUAUUAGGUUGGAAAUGUCAAAUUAAUUACGGUUGUUUGUGUAUUGUAUUGGUGUGGUUGCAUUAGUUGUCAGGAUUAAAUUUAUGAAAUUACGUAAAAACUCUCAUUACAUACAAAAAAGCAGCUUUGUUAUUUUUGUAAAGUGAGAAUAUAAUAAUCUUGAGCCAUCUAAUUAUGUGGGAUUAGAUUGUGAAUCCCACUUCUCUAUGGGAAUGUUAGUCCCACUCAUGGAGCUCUUAGUCCCAUAUCAUUUUGUCACAACCAAACAUGAUUUUGACUGGGCUUAUGGAUUAAUUAACAAUCCAACCUCCUUUCCCAAACCUGCAAUCAAACAUGGCCUUCCAGUAGAGGGGAUAAUGGUUUAAGAACUCGCUAAUAAAAUUGUGGGAGGUAAUUCUGCACGGCCACACUGCUUGGUUGAGUUAGUUAAACUGCGUCCAAGCAAGACACAUGGCUUGAAGUCUGAUUAAUGUGUCCAGUCAACGUCAGAUCAUGUACAUAGCCCCCAAGUGAAGGAUGGGAUUAUAAUCAUCGCUUUUGGGAAAAUCGCUAGAUAGGGGACACAAUCUGCUUAUUGCAGGGCAACAUGUGCAGGUGGUUGUUAGAAACUUUCAACGGCAUACUAUGGUAGCAUAAGGCAUUCAACCUAAGAGAAAAGGGGAGGGUGAAUUCCGACAAACCGGGCACGUACCGUUCAAGCGAAGCCACUCAUCUAUGCAAUCGGCAUGAAAGCAGUGCUUACACGCCGGUAUGCAUCGGACCAUCUCUUUAGCACGAUACUCCGACAAGCAGAUCGAACAAGUGUCGUCGUUGGGCCCUGGGAGUCGCCGGCUUUCGCCAAGGACUACUUUGGUGUAGGAUUCAAUGGUUGAUUCAUCUAGGCCUGCUAUGAUGGUGGUGGGUUGUGGUGUUAUGGCAGCGGGGUCGGAAUUUUGUUGCACAGUGGUGGUGCCGUUACGACGGCGUUGGGUUCCGCCGCUGACGAAGUAUAUGAAGAAUGCAGUGGCAAAUGCACAUGUGAUGGUCGGAACAACGAUGGAGAAGCAAAUGAUUUGGAACACUCGGAGUCUGUUGGCUUUGCCUGGUAAUGGAAUAGAUAAUCCCGUGCCUUAUGAAGUUGCAAGCAAGCCAGAGGAAUGAAUGAAGAUAAUCAAAUGAAGGUUAAGAGAGGUAAGAUCAAACCCGGGAUAGCCACAAGUUUGUGGUUGUUGUUGGUUUGUUUGGAAAGGGAAUCGGAUAGUGAAGCUGCUGUUAAAGCAAAUGGAAGUCGCACAACUGUUUGUUGCAUGAAUGAGAGGAGAGAGGAAGAGGAAGAGGAAGAGGAAGAGGAAGAGAAAGAAGAAUUUUAAUGUAUCCAUUUGUUUUUCAAAACAAGUGAAUCUAGGGAUGGUUAGGAAUAGUUUUGUUUGUAGGCUAUAGAACAAUUGUAUUUUUUUGAAAGUCAGAAGCUCUCAUAGUGAUUCUGUGGGCUUUUUUUAUUUAUUUAUUUUAUAAUGUGGAAAUCCCUAAAAAAAUAUUGAUGGAAGACCAUUAAUUAAUAUAGAAAAGAUAUAUGUAAAUACAGAGAAAUAUCUAAAAAGUUAUUGCGUGGUCUAGAUUUAACUCAUAGGGCUCGUUUGUUUUUAGAGGUAGAAUGGAGGAGAUUCAUAGUAAGUGAAUUGUUAGUGAGGGGAUUGAUAAUGAGGGGAUUAAGUAAAAUUUUGUUUGUUUUAAUGAUA